rnacentral:rRNA from 1 species
AGAAUGAACGCUGGCGGCAGGCCUAACACAUGCAAGUCGAACGGGUCCUUCGGGACUAGUGGCGGACGGGUGAGUAACGCGUGGGAACAUGCCCAAAGGUACGGAAUAGCCUCGGGAAACUGGGAGUAAUACCGUAUGUGCCCGAAAGGGGAAAGAUUUAUCGCCUUUGGAUUGGCCCGCGUUGGAUUAGGUAGUUGGUGGGGUAAUGGCCUACCAAGCCGACGAUCCAUAGCUGGUUUGAGAGGAUGAUCAGCCACACUGGGACUGAGACACGGCCCAGACUCCUACGGGAGGCAGCAGUGGGGAAUCUUAGACAAUGGGGGCAACCCUGAUCUAGCCAUGCCGCGUGAUCGAUGAAGGCCUUAGGGUUGUAAAGAUCUUUCAGUGGGGAAGAUAAUGACGUACCACAGAGAAGCCCGCUACUCCGUGCCAGCAGCCGC